rnacentral:rRNA from 1 species
AGAGUUUGAUCCUGGCUCAGGAUGAACGCUGGCGGUAUGCUUAACACAUGCAAGUCGAACGGUGUCUUCGGACAUAGUGGCGGACGGGUGAGUAACGCGUGAGAAUCUGCCUUCAGGAUGGGGACAACAGCUGGAAACGGCUGCUAAAACCCGAUGUGCCGAGAGGUGAAAUAUUUAUAGCCUGAAGAUGAGCUCGCGUCAGAUUAGCUAGUUGGUAAGGUAACGGCUUACCAAGGCGACGAUCUGUAGCUGGUCUGAGAGGAUGAUCAGCCACACUGGGACUGAGACACGGCCCAGACUCCUACGGGAGGCAGCAGUGGGGAAUUCUCCGCAAUGGGCGAAAGCCUGACGGAGCAAUACCGCGUGAGGGAGGAAGGCUCUUGGGUUGUAAACCUCUUUUGAUCGGGAAGAAGACAGUGACGGUACCGAUCGAAUCAGCAUCGGCUAACUCCGUGCCAGCAGCCGCGGUAAUACGGAGGAUGCAAGCGUUAUCCGGAUUUAUUGGGCGUAAAGCGUCCGCAGGUGGUUGAGCAAGUCUGCUGUCAAAGCGCGGAGCUUAACUCCGUAAAGGCAGUGGAAACUGUUUAACCUUGAGUACCGGUAGGGGUAGCGGGAAUUCCCAGUGUAGCGGUGAAAUGCGUAGAUAUUGGGAAGAACACCAGCGGCGAAAGCGCGCUACUGGGCCUGUACUGACACUGAGGGACGAAAGCUAGGGGAGCGAAAGGGAUUAGAUACCCCUGUAGUCCUAGCUGUAAACGAUGGGUACUAGGUGUUGGCCGUAUCGACCCGGUCAGUGCCGUAGCUAACGCGUUAAGUACCCCGCCUGGGGAGUACGCACGCAAGUGUGAAACUCAAAGGAAUUGACGGGGGCCCGCACAAGCGGUGGAGUAUGUGGUUUAAUUCGAUGCAACGCGAAGAACCUUACCAGGGCUUGACAUGUCGCGAAUCCUCGGGAAACUGAGGAGUGCCUUCGGGAGCGCGAACACAGGUGGUGCAUGGCUGUCGUCAGCUCGUGUCGUGGAGAUGUUGGGGUUUAAUUCCCCCAACGAGCGCAACCCACGUCUUUAGUUGCCAUCAUUUUAUUGGGCACUCUGGAGAGACUGGCCGGGGACAAACCGGAGAAAGUGUGGAUGACGUCAAGUCAGCAUGCCCCUUACGUCCUGGGCUACACACGUACUACAAUGCUGUGGACAGAGGGUUGCCAACUCGCGAGAGUGAGCUAAUCCCGUAAACCACGGCUCAGUUCAGAUUGCAGGCUGCAACUCGCCUGCAUGAAGGCGGAAUCGCUAGUAAUCGCAGGUCAGCAUACUGCGGUGAAUACGUUCCCGGGCCUUGUACACACCGCCGUCACACCAUGGGAGUGGCCACGCCCGAAGUCGUUACUCCAACCUUUCGGAGGAGGAGGAUGCCGAAGGCAGGGCUGAUGACUGGGGUGAAGUCGUAACAAGGUAGCCGUACCGGAAGGUGUGGCUGGAUCACCUCCUUAAACGAGACCUAUCGGCUGGUUAAAGGCUGAAGGAGCAAUCCUUCAAACCCAAAUAAUUGCCUGACCUAGUCCGAACAUCUCAGGUCGAUCGAAGUUUAUGAUGUGGCUUUCAAACUACUUCUGGUUUUUUUACUUCAGUUGCUUCCAAAUUUGAAUAUGCGGUUGCACUGACUGAAGUUAAUUUACAGAACUUAUUCAAUAGUGAGAGUAAGCAUCAACUAAAGAACUUACUAAUACUCACUCCAAAACGCUCAAUUUCAGCAACUUAUCUAACUAAUCUUGUGUUAGAUUAGAGAGCCUGCUGGGGUUGAACCAGCAAAGAACCUUGAAAACUGCAUAGAAACUUGUCAGGUAGUUAGUGACGACAGGAGUUUACUUCUGGAGUUGACUAAUUCAUAGACACCAAUGAAUUUUUGUUAGUGGUCAAGCUAAUAAGGGCUUACGGUGGAUACCUAGGCACACAGAGGCGAGG